UUGUUUUUAUUGCAGACGCCUUGGAACACCAAGUGAGACUUGGUACUUGUAGAAAUACCCUCGAUCACUAUAUUUAUAAAUGAAUUCCGGUGUAAGGAUUUGGUCAAAUAAUAUUGUAAGUUAAAAUUAGGACUGAAAUACUGAUAAAAAAAAGGCUUUUUGAUGAAUUACAAAUAGGUUCUACCAUGGACCUUGUAAUACAGUAUUAUAAGGUCCAUGGUUCUACACAUAACUGUCUCAAAUUUGACGAGUAACCUCCCUUUAAUGAUCAAAAUAUCAGAUUUACCGUAUUAAAUUUAAAUAUUGUCAUUGUAAAAGGUGACAAAUCACAUACAAUCACAACACAAUAAACUAUCAUAACAUGAGAAUACUCUGAGCAGAGACAAAUAAUUGUCGGCGGUACUUAUCUAAAUUGAUUUUAUUUAGAAUUUAUUUUAAAACAAGUUAUGAUGUCGAUGACCGAAAGUGACAAUCAACACAAUUUGCAAUUAUAAAUAAUAUAGCUAUAAUAUCGAAUUGUUUAUUGCACUAUAUAUACCAUAAUAUGUUUCCUGCAUAUAAUUACUGUUUUAAUAAACUAUUAAUCAAUCACUAAUUACAAAACAUUGCAAAGAAAGUAUACAUAGUUAAUUCUCGUCAACAAAAAUCACAUACACGAGUUAUCUCUCAUGAACCCCCGAUUUGGGCCCAAAGCAGUGAGACUUCUUAAAGGGACAAUAACACUCUUUUGCUGGCUUGAAAGCUCCAGAAAAUAAAUAAUAUCUCUAUAUAAGUACUAGAUGUUUAAGUGUCCUACCUGUUGUGUAAAUUAUCCAUUACAUCCUAUUUUACUUGUCCAGAGGGUUCGAAAAUAUUUUUAAAUCGAAGUUUCAUUUGAAAAGGUUUACGUUAGACGUUUCAAACCAUUAUGUUGAAUUUUUCAAUUUUUUUAAAUAAGGUGUGUUAAGAUGAAAUUUGUAUCAAAUAGUACAAUUUGUUGACCAGAAUAAAGAUUGGGACAUAUUAUUCAGUUACAAGAGUGGUAUUGAGCCUUUAAACUCAACUAAAUUAAUUGUUAUUUUGUGUUUCCACAGUCAACAUUUUUGGAGUUACUGGGUGUUGUUUUGGAUUUUUUGGGUCAUUCGGUGCGCCCUACAUUAUCAUAAUGCAUAUUUUUUAAAUGAAUUCCAGUAGUCUUUCAAAUAAAUACACCUACAGCGCCAUCAUCUGGCCUGUGGAGAGAUCAAAAUAGUUAUUAGUUGUAUUAUGCAUUUAAAAUAAAUUAGUUUUGUGGGAGGAAUCUGGGUUUUCGAAGUGAAUUCUGGUGAUUAUAAAGUCGGCUACAGGGCCCUUAUUCACGAAAACUUAAACUAAGUUACAACCGAAAUUUUAAGAAAUACUGCAACUUCAUUGGAUAUAUGCAAAUUGAUUUUACUGGUCAGCCAAUCGAAUUGCAGUAUUUCUUAAAAUUUUGAUUGUAUCUUAUAAGUUUUCGUGAAUAAGGGCCCAGUACAAUAACAGUCAUACCUCAGUAAGAAUCGUCCAUGUGGUUCAUAAUCCGAGUAAUUAGCACAAGUAAGGAUAAUUAUGAUAAUCCGGUAAAAAAAAAAACAAGCUUGCUGAAAUUAUUCAUAACAGGUCCAGCAAGUUGCCUUGAGGAAAUAGGCCACGUGGCAGUCGAAGGAAGACGAUCUUGGAAUAGAUUGUGGAUCUAUCCAUAUGAAUUCCAGGUGUACAUAGAUAUUAAAAUAAUAAUCAUAAUUUAAUGGUUUCACUGACCAGUUGUUAGUUAAAUUUAAGAGCGUGUCCACGAGAAAACCAUGCAAAAGGUGCUAAGGCUUCAAUCACAGAUUUUGACCAAAUUUGGUUUAUAAGUUGGGAUAGUGACAAAACACAUAAAUGUGCAAUAUUAGAUAAAUCUUUCAAUUCCUGACUGAGAAAAUUGAAAAAACAUUUUUCAUAUGGUGAAAUUGCCAAAAUCCGUCUUUUCUCAAAUACCAAUUUUGGCAAGUCCUUACACCUUUACUAUACGUAGCAGAAAGACCAAACUCACACAGUUUGUAGAUGACUCAGUGCUGUUACCACAAUAUUAACUUCAGACGAUUCUGGCGAACGAGAUCUGUAUACGGACUGGAUAUCAACGCCUGUCUAAAUUCCCCAUUUUUCGUCACCCAAAGUUUGACGCCCUAUAGCUACUUCUUUCAUGGGGUGGGUUUAAAAAAUUUAUGCUCACGUGAACAAGCAACCUCCCAACAUUUGAUACAAAAAAUAAAAAUGACUGGAAUCGACUUGACAAAAACUAGGUAAAGGAAACAAUAACCCAUGAAAUUAAUCUGUAAUUUCCCUAUUUUGGAGAUAAUUAACCGUAGUAGAUAAAAAAAAAAACCUAACAAUUUGUUUUCCUUUUCAUUCAUAUGGUGUUUACUACCAGCCCUAAAAUACAUUAGUGUCUGUUUUAUAAAAAUAUCUUGAAAAAAAAUACUUUCAAAGGCCUGUAAUCAUUCAUGAAUUCAUGGGAAUUGGCUUCCGCUAUGGGUGACGUGGUCAUGGGCAAGAUUCCGGUUUGAUGUUUCACGCGCCUGUUGUGGUGGUUGUCCCUUUCAGCGUUGCAACUUCCGUAAAUCAUUUACUGUAUAUGACACCAUAAGAAAACACCAAUUUCAAAUAAUAAAUGUCAAUGUAUUGAUCAACAAAUUACAGUUUACAGUAGACCAAUGACAAACAUAUAAAACAUCUUGCUUCAGGAUUCACGUUAUCAUAUAAAUAUGAAAAGUUCACCAAUUACUCAUGAAAGAAAGUCACAUGUUCACGGGUUUCACUAGAAUGACUAAAUUACAGAAAUUAAGAGUUCACCACAUAAUUAACUGUUCACAAAAUGUUCACGGGGAUUCACUGAUCAUAUUCACAAAAGUUUCAUUCACGAUUCACAUAUUUAUCACAACAAUGCGGUGAAAAACACUUUCGAAGCCGGUGGGGACAUUCAUGCCCGCCACGCCAUGCUUCGGUCACAUCCCAUAAUUAUCAACAAUCACCAAGACACUAGACACGAUUAUACAAUAAUGACAUCUUAAUAAGAAACAAAGACUAGGUCAAUUAGACUCUCAUUACUCAAAUUGUACACAAGUAACUCACAUUUCAAUUCACAUUGUCAAAUAACUAAUAAAUACCGAAUGCAAUAAUUUGGACAUUACAUCCGCAGUUGUCCACGAGCUUCCAUUGGAGUAUCGACAUGCUCAAUCUCAACAAACAUAUCCAUUACUCUCAAAUAGACAUUAUUUUAAAUAAAAUAAUCCAACGAAAAUGAAAAAUUCACCUAAAAGUGAGAUUCGAACCACCAACCGCAUGACUUCCUCCGACCCACCCUCUCACCGAGUUGCUUGUCCCAGGGCCCCAAGGUCCAUUUCGUGGGCCCUGUUCAGGGGGUUUGCCUAGGGCCUCUCUUAUUCUAAAUCCGGCCCUGAAGGUGCAGCUGACGGUGCCCGAGAGCUGUAGCUACCAUACUACACUGUUCAAUGUCACCCACUUCGACGCAAGGCUUCGUUGCCGUUAAUGUUUAAGCUUCCACAUUUCUGUAUUGUAGAAAUCAGUGGAUGUGUCCCAAAAUGAAUAGUGGAAACAUGCUCUGAAAUUAAACAUUUUGUAGCCAUUUUCGGUAACCUGUUUGAAAAUGAAAUCUUAAAGAGACAAUACAACAAAUAUGUUAAAGGGACAAUACGACAAUACCAAAUAUACAAUAAAUACAAACACACACUUAUAUAGAGUGCAACAUGGUACAAAUAAUGGCUAUGGAUAUGAUGAAAACGUAUAAAAGUCAAAAAUUUUAUUUCUCUAAUUGAAUUUGCAAAAAAAUGUAUCACAAAAGCUUAUUUUAGCACUUUUCAAUAAGCUGUAUAUUUUAAGUAUGUUGCAUACCGGUCAUUUUUUUACACCUAUGGAUACUAUGUGCUUAGCACUUCAAAACCACCCAAAGAAAUUCUACUUGUGACCAUGAAAGAAAAAGUUACAGUGUAUCUUUUUCUGCACUAUAAGGACAAUGUGAAUAUGGUACCCUAAAACAAGUCCACACAAAAUUAGUAUGUACUGAUUUUUUUUUUUCAAAUUAGUGCUGGGGUGGAAGUUGACCGCCCGCUUUAUCAGACAGGGUCAAAAUUAGAAGGUUGCUAUUCCACCAUAGAAUGCAGUCUGUGAUUAAAAAGGGUGAUAAAUACACAUGUGAAAACCGCAAUUUUACCCAUAAAAUGAAUAAUUCCCGUACAGUCCUUUAGAGCGACACCAGACUGUAACCACUUCAGCAUGUUACCUCUUGCCCCUAGGGGGUGUCAUACCAUAAGUUUGAUCAAAAACUUCCGACCCCCCCAUCUUAGCACUUUUUGCGAUUUUUGCAUGGUCUUCUCGCGGAUACACUCUUAAUAUGCUGAGUUUAAGAGGGGGUGUUGGGUAGUAAACUCAUCUUUAAUAUUGGUUACGUUUAAUCUUCUUUAAAUAUAACACGGUACGAACUUGCUCAAAGGGAGCUAACUUUUACAUCUUCCUGUAAUGUUUUUUUUCCUUCAUUAGAAGUGGCAGAUGUUUUUCCUGUCUUUAUUUUUAUGUUUAAUCCCCAUCAAUCGCCAAUAAUAUAAUGGCAGAACAUCCACCACCAACACAGAAUCCAACAGCAGCUACCAUCCCUCAACUUCAACACCUCACGACACUUAAGCUCAGUGGAAGCGGGCGUAAAAUAGGCCUACAACUAACCAACAACAGAUAAUCUGCCUAAUCUUAUUCGGUAUUCAGUGCGUUAGUAUUAGUCAUUUUAAUGAUUACAUUUUAAUGAAUUUUGUGACAGUCAGUUUACUGGUACAAGUACAAGCAAAUCGAUACGGAAAGAAAAGAAUGACCGCAGGGCCCGACUAAUCACCGGAAUUCACCGGAAUUCAUUUACAAUCACCGGAAUUCACAUAUAAUCACCGGAAUUCACUUCGAAAACCCCUGAUUCCUCCCACAAAACUAAUUUAUUUUAAAUGUAUAAUACAUUAUAAUGUAACGAAUUACUAUUUUGAUAUCUCCAUAGGCCAAAUAAAGGCCCUGUGUGUGUGUAUUUAUUUGAAAGACUACCGGAAUUCAUUUCAAAUAUAUGCAUCUUGGUUAUGAUAACGUAGGGCGCGCGUCGUGUUACCCAAUAGGCCGAACUCCAAAAUAACACUAAAAACAAUUUGCGUCGAGUUACCCAAUAACUCCAAAAUAACAACCAAUAACUUCAAAAAUAUUGACUGGAAACACAAAAUAACAAUUUAGUAUGAGUUUAAGAAGCGUGACUGGUUUUUGUCCAAAUCGGAGGUUCACGGGAGAUAACUCGUGUAUGUGAUACUUGCAAAUUGUGUCGAUUGUCACUUUCUGUCAUCGACAUCGUAACUUGUUUUGAAAUAAAUAAAUGAAAUCAAUUUAAAUAAGUUCCGCUGACAGUUAAUUGUCUUUGUUCAGAGUAUUCUCAUGUUAUGAUAGUUUAUUAUGUUGUGAUUGUAUGUGAUUUGUCACUUUAUACAAUGAAAAUAUUUACAUUUAAUAUGAUUUGUAAAUCCGAUAUUUUGACCAUUAAAGGGAGGUUACUCGACAUGUGUGGAGAAAAUCUCGUAACUCGUCAAAUUUGAGAUGUUUUAAAACAAUUAUGUGUAGAACCUAUUUGUAAUUCAUCAAAAAGCCUCUUUUAUCAGCAUUUCAGUCCUAAUUUUAACUUACAAUAUUAUAUGACCAAAUCCAUACACCGGAAUUCGCUUUGGAGAUAUCAGAAUUCGCCCGUACAAUCUUCCUAUUUACUUAUAUUUUCCAUUAAUAUUAAUGUUGAAUUUAAAACACAUAAUAUAAACACCGGAAUUCACAUUGAAAACAUAUAAACACCGGAAUUCACUUUCAACAUAUCUGAAUUCGCACUGAAGACCUUCGUAUUUACUAAUAUUUUACAUUAAUAAUAAAUUACUUUAAAUCACCGGGAUUCACUUUGAAAACAUAUAAACAUCGGAAUUCACUUUCAACAUAUCGGAAAUCGCACUUAAGACCUUCGUAUUUACUAAUAUUUUACAUUAAUAAUAAAUUACUUUGAAACAGCGAAAAUCACCGGAAUUCAAUUUGAAAACAUAUAAACACCGGAAUUCACUUUCAAAUAUCGGAAUUCGCACUUCAGACCUUCGUACUCGAUCACAAAUAUUUUACAAUAAUAAUAAAUUACUUGAAGACACCGGAAUUCACUUACAAAAUAUCGGAAUUCACACUUUAGACCUUCGUAUUUACUAAUAUUUUACAUUAAUAAAAAAUUACUUUAAAACACUGGAAUUCACUUUGAUAAAAUCGGAAUCCGCCCCAAGACAAUUGUAUUUACUUAUAUUUUGCAUUAAUAUUAAUACUAGAAUGUAUCUGCUGUAAAACGAUAUUUCCAGAUGGUCAACUCGGGGAAACACAAUAAAAACACAGCAGUUUAUUCUAAAAUUAACUUAGUAAUAAUCUGCCAAUCAAAUAAUUAUAAAGUCUCAUCAAUAAUGGUUUGGAUGAUUUCAUAGAUAAUCCGUUGUAGCAUGAAGCAGUCCAGAUUAAAUGAAGUGUAAUUUUAAUAAUAUGCCAAUAGUAGGCAUAUAGAAUGUUCACCAGUUAAUUGUCAUUGUAAAAGGUGACAAAUCACAAACAAUCACACCUCCAAAAAACAUAACAAACUAUGAUAACAUGAGAAUGAGAAUCUAUUUAUUUCUAAACAAGUUACGAUGUCGAUGACCGAAAGUGACAAUCGGCGCAAUUUUCAAUUAUAAAUAAAUAAAUAUAGCUAAUUAAAUUGUUUAUUUUAAUAAACUAUUAUCAAUCUUUUAUUACAAUACAUUACAACGAAUUGCAACAAAAGUAUACAUUAGUUUCUUGUCAACAAAAAUCACAUACAUGAGUUAUCUCCCGUGAACCUCCGAUUUGGGCACAAAUCAGCGAGGCUUCUUAAAUUCAACUUGUUAUAUUGUGUUUCCACAGUCAACAUUUUUGGGGUUAUUGGCGCAAAUUGUUAUUAUGUAUUAUUUUGGAGUUCGGCCUAUUGGGUAAUAGUAAUACGACGCGCCCUAUGUUAUCAUAAUCAAUCAUGAUGCAUAUAUUUGAAAUGAAUUCCGGUAGUCUUUCAAAUAAAUUCACCUACAGCGCCUUUAUCUGGCCCGUGGAGAGAUCAAAAUGUAUUAUACAUUUAAAAUAAGCGAGUUUUGUGGGAGGAAUCAGGGAUUUUGUAAGUGAAUUCCAGUGAUAUUGUAAAUGAAUUCCGGUGAUUGUAAAUGAAUUCCGGUGAAUGUAAAUGAAUUCCGGUGAUUAGUCUACCCGUGACCGCAUAUAUAGUUGACUACCUGAAAACGAAUCACUGACAGUUGUUAAUUAUCGUUCGCCCUGUUAACACCUGCUGCUCCAGUCUUCCAGUUAUCCAGUCUUCCAGUCUUCCAUUUAACCAGUCCUGGCACCAUGGACCCGAUAAUUAAAAAAUACGUAGUAGGCUACCAGAAGAAGAGACCAGCCGAGUAUUCUACCACGUGGCGGUCAGCAGCACGGAUAGAUUAACCGACAGGGAAAUCUUGAAGUGCCUGACCGACCUACUCGGCAAGUGGGAUGACAUCCUAACCAUAUACCUGAAAGAAGAAGAAUGGCACGUACACGUACGUACAAAAGCAACCAAAACAAAAAUCCUCGAAGCAGAGAACCACACCCACAUGGGAACAACCUACCGCUUCCACAAACGCUUCGCCAAAGUGCUCACCCUCACGGUAUAUGACUUCCCAGUCUCCUACUCUGAUGAAUACUUCAUUGAAAUAAUGACAGACAUAGGCCAAGUAAGAUCGUUCAAAGACCUCCAUCUAGGCAACACAUAUGUCCACAGAAGAAUAAGAGAAGUCGAGAUAGAAAUACCAAAUAAAAAAGUAAAAGAAAUACCAACCUUAUAAUCCUUCAAGCCCAUUACGGAGACGCGAGAGUCAGAAUUGUAACGCCAGGCCAACCUUCUCCAUGCUUUAGAUGUGAGAAGCUUGGCCACUCACGAAAGGAAUGCCCUCUUCGAGGCCCAGGAAAAGAAAUGAAAAAACAAACAGUACAGCCACCGGUCCCAGCAGUAAACAAAUCCGUUGAGAACAGCAAAACAGUACAGCAUUGUUUAGAAAUGUAAUAUAGGGACUGGAUUCUUCCUUCAGAGAACCAGUAACAAAAGGAAUGAACAACAGAAAUAAAGAUGAAAACAAUACCACCAUACCGGACAACAAACCCAAAUGGAAGGAAGAAUGGACCAGGCCUUACACUCACCAACAAGCCCCAAGGAAGAGUUGCACCGCCCUGCCAUUCAACCGGACAGAACGACCAGACCGACUAAAACGACCCAAGAUAUAUAUAUAUUAUGUACAUAAUAUGUUUAAAUGUUCGUCCACUUUCAUGUCUGUUUUGUCAAAAUGUCUGUAUAUAAAUGUCUAUGUCUGUCUGUCUAAAUGUUCGUCCAUAUUCAUGUCUGUUUGUCAAUGUCUGUGAUUGUCCCUACUAGCACCUCAUUACUUUGCACUUGUUAUAUCAUGUCUCGUCCUCCUAUCUAUUGUCUUCUGUACAUAUAUAUAUAUAUAUAUAUAUAUAAAAACCUAACUAUCCUUUAAUUUUUCCACUAAUCACAUUGUAAAUAUUUUCACGAUGUAUAUAAAACAUGUAAUUGUCUGCAAUAUCACUUCGGUGGAAGCUGAUGUUAAAUAAAGCUAUUUCACACAUA